rnacentral:tRNA from 2 species
GCGGGUGUAGCUCAGUUGGUUAGAGCGCAGGCUUGUGGUGCCUGAUGUCGGCGGUUCGAAUCCGCUCACUCGCCCCA